rnacentral:rRNA from 1 species
CAAUAGCGUAUAUUAAAGUUGUUGCAGUUAAAAAGCUCGUAGUUGGAUUUCUGGUUGAAGCGACCGGUCGGGCGUUGAUUCGUCUGCACUGGAGUCGGUUUUGGCCAUCCUCUAGGAAAGUGCGUCUGGUAUUAAGUUAUCGGGCGUAUGAUCCUGGUCUUUUACUGUGAAAAAAUUAGAGUGUUUAAAGCAGGCCUUCGCCUUGAAUACAUUAGCAUGGAAUAAUAAGAUAGGACUUUGGUCUAUUUUGUUGGUUUGCAGACCGAAGUAUUGAUUAAUAGGGAUAGUUGGGGGUAUUUAUAUUCCGAUGUCAGAGGUGAAAUUCUUAGAUUUUCGGAAGAUAAACUUAUGCGAAAGCAUUUACCAAGGAUGUUUUCAUUAA